GCCGCUUAAGCAUUGAUGGCGAUGCAGCUCGCUCGUAACGAGACGACACAAGGUUCGAAUCCUUGAGGCGGCACCA
rnacentral:tRNA from 1 species